rnacentral:rRNA from 1 species
AUUGAACGCUGGCGGCAGGCCUAACACAUGCAAGUCGAACGGUAACAGGAAGAAGCUUGCUUCUUUGCUGACGAGUGGCGGACGGGUGAGUAAUGUCUGGGAAACUGCCUGAUGGAGGGGGAUAACUACUGGAAACGGUAGCUAAUACCGCAUAACGUCGCAAGACCAAAGAGGGGGGACCCUUCGGGGCCUCUUGCCAUCGGAUGUGCCCAGAUGGGAUUAGCUAGUAGGUGGGGUAACGGCUCACCUAGGCGACGAUCCCUAGCUGGUCUGAGAGGAUGACCAGCCACACUGGAACUGAGACACGGUCCAGACUCCUACGGGAGGCAGCAGUGGGAAUAUUGCACAAUGGGCGCAAGCCUGAUGCAGCCAUGCCGCGUGUAUGAAGAAGGCCUUCGGUUGUAAAGUAC